rnacentral:rRNA from 2 species
AACCGCGGCCAAUACCCGAUGCUUGUUUGAACCGCAUGGCUUCACACAUAAAAGGUGGCUUCGGCUACCACUUACAGAUGGACCCGCGGCGCAUUAGCUAGUUGGUGAGGUAACGGCUCACCAAGGCGACGAUGCGUAGCCGACCUGAGAGGGUGAUCGGCCACACUGGGACUGAGACACGGCCCAGACUCCUACGGGAGGCAGCAGUAGGGAAUCUUCCGCAAUGGACGAAAGUCUGACGGAGCAACGCCGCGUGAGUGAUGAAGGUUUUCGGAUCGUAAAGCUCUGUUGUUAGGGAAGAACAAGUGCCGUUCAAAUAGGGCGGCACCUUGACGGUACCUAACCAGAAAGCCACGGCUAACUACGUGCCAGCAGCCGCGGUAAUACGUAGGUGGCAAGCGUUGUCCGGAAUUAUUGGGCGUAAAGGGCUCGCAGGCGGUUUCUUAAGUCUGAUGUGAAGCCCCCGGCUCAACCGGGGAGGGUAUUGGAACUGGGGAACUUGAGUGCAAAGACGAAGUGGAAUUCACGUGUAGCGGUGAAUGCGUAGAAUGUGCAGGACCCAGUGGUAAUCGACUC